rnacentral:rRNA from 1 species
GACGUAGGGCGCGAGCGUUGUCCGGAAUUAUUGGGCGUAAAGAGCUCGUAGGCGGUCUGUUGCGUCCGCUGUGAAAACUCGGGGCUUAACCCCGAGCCUGCAGUGGAUACGGGCAGACUAGAGGUAGGUAGGGGAGAAUGGAAUUCCCGGUGUAGCGGUGAAAUGCGCAGAUAUCAGGAGGAACACCGGUGGCGAAGGCGGGACUCUGGGCCGAUACUGACGCUGAGGAGCGAAAGCGUGGGGAGCAAACAGG